rnacentral:ncRNA from 1 species
CUAUGUAUAUGAAAAUUGGUUGUAUUUUUAGAUUACAUGUAAAUUUUUAUGAGUUGAAGUUAUUCUAAAUGAAGAAAUUUUUAGAUUUUCAGUUUUAAAUUUUAAUUAUUUAUGUAAGUUAUAAUUAGUAAAUUUUAUUAGAAUUAUAAAAAGUUGUGCCAGCAUAUGCGGUUAUACCUCUACAUUCAAAUCAAUUUUAUUUGUUUAGCACUAAUUUAUUUUUUUUAAUUUUGAAUUUUAAUUUAUUAGGUGAAAUUUUUAACUUGUUUAUACAGAAUUGGUUAUUAUUUGUGUAAAAGUGAAUAUAUAAACUAGGAUUAGAUACCCUAUUAUUACCAUUAAAUUUUUAUGAUAUAGUAUUAAAAGUUAUGUUCUUGAAAUUAAAAAGAUUUGGCGGUAAUUUAUUCUUUUUAGAGGAACCUGUUAUGUAAUUGAUAAUCCACGAUUGGUUUAACUUUAACUAUUAUGUUUGUAUACCUCUGUUAUUGAAUGUGUUAUUAGAUUAUUUUCUUAAAUUAUUAUGUAAUUGAUAUCAAGUCAAGGUGCAGCUUAUGUAAAAGUUUUCAAUGGGUUACAUUUAAAUUUAUUUAUUAGAUUAAAUACUUGUAAGUAUUUAUGAAAUAGGAUUUAAUUGUAAAUUUUAUAAAUAUAUAUAUUGAUUUUAGCUCUAAUUUAUGUACAUAUCGCCCGUCACUCUCAUCUAUAUAAGUGAGAUAAGUCGUAACAAAGUAAUUUUAUUGGAAAAUGAAGUUAGAAUAUAA